rnacentral:tRNA from 1 species
UCCCGUGUGGCUCAGUUGGUAGAGCAUGGCGUUUGCAGCGCCAGGGGUUGUGGGUUCGAUUCCCACGGGGGAC